rnacentral:lncRNA from 1 species
CGGUAACUUCCAACUCUUUUUCUUUCCCAUCUUCAUCAUAUUAGUUUAAUUAGACAUGUAAAAUUGAUAAUUUUUAAGUCGAUCCAUCAACUUUCUGGACGAUGAACCUAACAUGUCUUCACAGAUUUGUUAGACCCAAAAGCAGAGCAUUUGAUAAAUUUAUUGAAGUUUUAAUAGCACCUAUAUUUUCAUUUUUGUUUAUUUUAGUUACUAUAGCUUAAGAGGUAGAUUUCAUUGUAUAUUGUAAUUGAAGUAAUUUAAGUUAGAAUGUAGGCAUGGUUAAGGCGUUUGGUUGAACUAAUUAAUGUUUUGGUUGUUCAGCAAGAGUACAAGAACUGUUCGUGUACGAGAUAAACGAGCGAGACAGGGGAAGCCCAGCAUUCCUAAAACUAAGCAAGAAGGCUGAGAAUUCACUGGGGGAUUUGGUCCCAUUCAGCAACAAGCUCUACUCCGGCGACCUUCAGAAGCGGCUCGGCAUAACGACCGGCCUCUGCGUCCUAAUUCAGCACUUGCCUGAAAAGAAAGGGGACCGCUACGAGGCCAUCUACAGCUUCUACUUUGGCGAUUACGGCCACAUAACCGUCCAAGGCGCCUACUUGACUUAUCAAGACACCUACUUAGCCGUUACCGGCGGCAGUGGCAUCUUUGAAGGCGUUUCCGGCCAGGUCAAGUUGCAGCAGAUCGUUUUCCCUUUUAAGCUGUUCUACACCUUUUAUUUGAAGGGGAUCGCGGAUUUGCCGGCUGAGUUGUUGGGGAAGCCUGUUCCGCCGUCUCCCACCGUCGAGCCAGCUCCUGCGGCCAAGGCUUGUGACCCUUCCGCCGCCAUUCCUAACUUUACCGAUUGAGGCUUUUAGUGCG